rnacentral:misc_RNA from 1 species
UGUUCUUGUAUUGGACCAUGAAUUUGUUCAAUUUUCUUCCAACAGCUGUUUUCUUUGAAAGGCUCUUGCCAAGUUCAUAGUUGCCAUUAGACUGGGGGGAUUUUUCAUCUCUACAUCGAUUCAAAUUCAAUCUGUCAGGCCGAAAUAAACAAAUCAAUUUGUUGAUCUGCCCGAACUGUUUUGCAUGAGCUAGGAGGCUUUAGAACUAACGUUGGUAUUCUUCCACCGUCCCUGUCUGCUUCAGAUUAACUAAAUCGCCCAAA